CAGAAUGGUUAACAAAGGGUGAUAGUGAGGAGUUGAGGAUAUGCUUCAUUGUUCCAUUAUUCUAUAUUUUAUGUGAAGUUUUUAUGCCCUAAACAGAGUUAACUUUUGGAAAGAUGACAUGAGCAGCUCCUUUUAUUCCCUCAAUGAAACUGCCAGAGAUCUAUCAAUUAUCUUUAAGUUUGUUAGCUUUAAGUAUGAAAGAUGUAUGCUGAGAUCUACAACUAUUAAAUAUUUUAAGUGAGCUUCUUAUAAACAACACAUUAUUGGACCCUGCUUUCUAAUCCAUCUUUUUGUCCUCAUCCAUUUUAUUGGAAAGCUAAGGAGUAAACGCUGCUCUUGGAAACAAAUGCCGAACGAUGUGUCAUCUUGCCCUGGGAAGGUUCUUCAUUU